UCUUCUUGAAGUAUCAGCUAAGUACUAAUCUGAAAAAUGAAGUUUUUUAUUGGUUACCUAAUUCUAUUAUUGAGUCUCAUCUUCUGUGUCAUGGGCAAUCCGCCAAAAAAACUUAAACCGCCUUGUGCAGGAAAUAUUCUACAGUGUGCAAUAGAUUCUAUAGAAAGCCUUAUUAACUAGUCUUCAAAGUUUUGUUUAGUAAAUAAUUGAAUUCUUCAUCCGGGACUGUGGAACAUCGAUAUCGUAGAGAAGGUUUAUAUAUUUUGUGAAAUAUAUAAAACAGAAUAUAAAAUUCAAGGAAUAAUGUGAAAAACUUUGUAACUAUAACUUCAACAUUAUGAAUAUUUCAGAAUAAAAUAUUAUUGCAUCAUUUAUUAGAAACAA